rnacentral:rRNA from 1 species
CCUACGGGAGGUAGCAGUGGGGAAUAUUGCACAAUGGGGGCAACCCUGAUGCAGCGACGCCGCGUGAGUGAAGAAGUAUCUCGGUAUGUAAAGCUCUAUCAGCAGGGAAGAAAAUGACAGUACCUGACUCAGAAGCCCCGGCUAACGACGUGCCAGCAACCGCGGUAAUACGUAGGGGGCACGCGUUAUCCGGAUGUACUGGGUGUAAAGGUAGCGUAGACGGCGCUGCAAGUCCGGAGUGAAAGCCCAUGGCGUAACCAGGGAACUGCUCUGGAAACUGUGGAGCUUGAGUGCGGGAGGGGCAGGCGGAAUGCCGAGUGUAGCGGUGAAAUGCGUAGAUAUUAGGAGGAACACCGGCGGCGAAGGCGGCCUGCUGGACCGUAACUGACGUUGAGGCGCGAAAGCGUGGGGAGCAAACAGGAUUAGAUACCCGGGUAGUC